AUCAUUAUAACUUAUUUGAAAAGACAUUUACCAUUUGUAUGAUUUUCCCAAAUGUAAUACAUUUUCUUGCAUCUUUGUUCAUUCAAAGCUCCUGAAAUAUGCCUGAAAUAAACCCAUAUUGGAGUUGAAAAUAACAUAAUGUUCCAGGAAGUCAAAUUAAAAGCAUUUUUUUUAAUCAGUGGGGCCUCCACAGGAAAGCAUUGCUGUGCAGGGAGACAGAGGCAGUGUCCAGGUUAAUUUUCUUUUCUUUUCUUCCUCCUACAAAUAAAUGACCCAAUGGAAUGGGAAACAUUGGUCACAAAACCAACCAUCCCAGCAGUGUGCACCAGCACUUCAAAACACCGCAUGUUAACCUUGUCAGCACUGCCUAUUUUUUCCUUCCUUGCAGUUAGCUGUGAGCAGGGCCUGGACACAUGCACUGCUGUGUUUGCUGCUGUUAUACAGGGGCUGUCAGCACUGUGAUGGGAAUGCUGGGGAGGCAGUGGAGAAGCUGAAGAGGUGAAGCAAUUUAGGACUCAAUCCAAAGUUUAUCCAAGCCAUCAGGAAGCUUCGUGUUGGUUGUGCAGCCUUCGGCAAAGGCACGGCUCCCCUCGCUGCAACCACAUCUGAGCCACUGCAACAGGCAUUACUUAAUAGCGCUGAGAAGAGAAACAGAAGAAAAUUUCUUUGAAGAUUUACCUGGGCCUGAAAGGGCAGGAGGGGAGAAGACGAAGUGGAAAUAUGGGCAAAUGGAGGAGAACCAUUUGCCACCAUCCAAACAGGUCCUUUUCAACCACUUUUCUGUUGUGUACCUGCUUGUAGCCAGAGCCACUUGGUGCAAGCAGAGGUUAGAGACCUUUGGGGCUAACGCUGAAGUUCCAGCCUUUCUUCUGUUUCUUCUUAAUGUGAUGAAACCUGAGUCUGAAUGGGGAAAGUUCAGUCGUAAUGUGGCCAGCCCUGCGGUGUUGAGCUGAGAAAGUCUGCGGUUAUUAUUUCCUCCUCUGGGGCGUUUGUGGAUGACCAUUGCUGCCCUGAGAGCACCCGCCUGCUUGGCAGCCCCUGCCCAGUCUGCAGCCACUCAGCACGGCGUAUCCCACCCACAGCGAUGCUUUGUGCCAGCACCACCUGGCUGGGGGUUACAGCCCUAGUGCUCAGCACUUGCACCUUUUACCUCCCUGUGCACAAAAGGCCAGGGUGGGCCUCCCUGACCUGAUGUGCCACCGAGGGAGCUUGCUUGUGAGUUUGUACAGUGUGUGGCUAGGAAUCAGCUGUAGCAAUCUGCCCACAGAACUCAAGCAACACCAGAAAAACUCAUUAUUCAAUACCUUAUUUCAUGCUCUGGAAACAAGAGCAACAACCCCAGCCCUUCCUCCCCUUACAGUGGUGCGGUUUCCAUCAGUCUUUUCAACUCCUAAUGAGAUUUAGCACUGGGGAGGGAUGUUUGUGCCAGAAGGACCAAGGCUUCUCAUCAAAAAGACAUUGAAGUGUUCAGAAAAGUUCCUAUAACAUUUGGAUCAAACCCCAUUUCUGUAUGGAAGAACGGAGGUAAUGCCACCUUUGUGAAGGUUUUAGGAGCUGUCUCUCUGCUCCUAUGUCAGGAAUGUGUUUGUGGAAAGUCUGCAAGAUCUUACCAAAUGAACUCAUCAGAGACUCACCCUGUGCCAAAAGACACGUUGCCCCAGGGAUGCUUGCACCAGUUCAUGGCCUCCUUUCCUGCCCCAGCACAGAGAACAACUCCUGCUGAUGGAGCAGAGGCUGCUGUCAGAGAGCUCAGCAGCAUCUCACAAAGCAAAACCCUCUGUGGCUCUGCUCCUCCUGCAGGAAAUUAGAACUGAAGGAGGGAGUGCAGUUUUCUGCAAGCAAACAGAGCUGAAGUGACAGGGAAGUGGCACUGUGACACACACAGCGUGCACCUUACUCUGCUAUUCCCCUGAUGAUCAAUGUUACCGGAGGCAUUUUGCAGAUGAGUGCAGUUACCUCUUAUUCCCAGUAAGGAUGCAAUGUGAAAUGCAAAUACUCGAAAGGUUAGGCUGCUGUAUAGCAGUAAUUACUCAUGCAGCUAUGCAGGAAUAGAACAGCAGUAGAUCUUUGAGUUUAUUAUAAAACAAUCUCAAAAAUACCAUGGCUGAGAUCAGCUGUUGUAUACAUGCAUUGCUUACCCCCAGCUCUGACCCACCUGGAUGCAGCCUGAGCAUUUGCAGAAGGGCUGCCAGUCCCCAGCCCUGACCUUGGCAGCUGCCCAGCACAUCCUAUCAUUGAGCCUAUGGUCCCACCCUGGCUGCUACAUGGAAGCACCAA